GCCGACUUAACAACGAAACACAAACAUAUACUAUCCAACAAACAAACCAUUUGUCCUACUAAGUAGUUGCGAUCGAACAGUUAAAAGUCACACUAAAGUACCGUAAGGGAAGCACUAAAGCGAAAAACAGCAAAGAUCAACCCUUGUACCUUUUGCAUCAUGGUCUAGCAAGAUACCAGGGACAAGAAGAAUCAUAGCCCCUCACCCCGAAACCGGUUGAGCUAUUUCUAAGCAGUCUAAAGGACGCACCCUUCUCUGUAGCAAAAUAGUGGGAAGACUUAAAAAUAGAGGUGAAACGCCUACCGAAUCCGGAGAUAGCUGGCUACCCAAAACAGAAUCUAAGUUCUACUUUAGAUACAACAUUAACCAAUUAACCAUCUAAAGAUAAUCAACAGGGGUACAGCUCUGUUGACCCAGGAUACAACCUGAAUUUGCAAGAAACUAAAUCAUUUAACCCGUAGGCCCUUAAGCAGCCACCCCAAAAAAUAUCGUCAAAGAAUUUAACCCUAAACAAACCCAGCACCAACCAAAAACUUCAAACCAAUUAAAGGUGAACCUACACAGUGUAGAUAUCAUUAUGCUAAAACUAAUAAUAAGACUUCAUCUCUCUUAACGUAACCCUCUGCUAGAAAUAGAAAAACUACUAGCCAUUAACAGACCACAAAAGGUAAACAACAAACCCAUACACACCUUAAAACUCACUGUGACCCCAACACAGGUACGUUAAAAAGAAAGAUCAACUGCUAUAAAAGGAACUCGGCAAUCGAAGACCCCAACUGUUUAACAAAAACAUAACCUUUAGCCAAACCAGUAUUAAAGGCGACGCCUGCCCAGUGAAUAAUUAAACGGCCGCGGUACCCUAACCGUGCAAAGGUAGCAUAAUCAUUUGUCUAUUAAUUGUAGACCUGUAUGAAAGGCAAAAUGAGGGUCUAACUGUCUCUUAUGGCAAAUCAAUUAAACUGAUCUCCUAGUACAAAAGCUAGAAUACCAACAUAAGACCAGAAGACCCUGUGAAGCUUUAAAAAACCUAUUAAAUCAAAUAAUAACUACUUUCGGUUGGGGCGACCUUGGAACAAAAAAGAACUUCCAACACAUGACUUCCUCAUUAAAUAGGCAAACGAGCCAACACCUGAUCCAGUACAACUGAUAAAUGAAACAAGUUACUCCAGGGAUAACAGCGCUAUCUUCUUCAAGAGCCCAUAUCAAAAAGAAGGUUUACGACCUCGAUGUUGGAUCAGGACACCCCAGUAAUGUACCCGUUACUAAAGGUUCGUUUGUUCAACGAUUAAUAGUCCUACGUGAUCUGAGUUCAGACCGGAGCAAUCCAGGUCAGUUUCUAUCUAUGUAGUGCUUUAUCCAGUACGAAAGGACCGAUACAGCAAAGCCAAUGCCCCCCUGCACGCUUUAACCACAAAAUACAACUCUAUUAAAAACGAACAUCACUUACCAACCUAGAUAAGGUUAAUUAAGGGGGCCCGUACCUUA
rnacentral:rRNA from 1 species